UACGUAGGGUGCAAGCGUUGUCCGGAAUUAUUGGGCGUAAAGAGCUCGUAGGCGGUUUGUCGCGUCUGCUGUGAAAUCCCAGGGCUUAACCCUGGGCCUGCAGUGGGUACGGGCAAACUAGAGUGCGGUAGGGGAGAUCGGAAUUCCUGGUGUAGCGGUGAAAUGCGCAGAUAUCAGGAGGAACACCGGUGGCGAAGGCGGAUCUCUGGGCCGUAACUGACGCUGAGGAGCGAAAGCAUGGGUAGCGAACAGU
rnacentral:rRNA from 1 species